UAUAUGCUCUCAUGCCACUGUCUUUUUGAUAUGUGCAUUGCGCAUGUCUUUGAUUGUAGUGCGUGUCUGUGUAUCAAGGUGCUCUGUGCCCUUGAUGCAUGUAGUGCUUGGGCUUUGUGCUCCAUCAGCAACUUGAUAAACACUUGUUGUGUGUAAAUUGUUGUUCUGUUUGGAGUGUUGAUAGCCUUGCCUCUGGCAUCCCUGCAUGGAUUCCUUUCAUGACAUGAAGUUAGGUG
rnacentral:misc_RNA from 1 species